UGGUAAAUAAAUCAAGUGCCCCUGAGU
rnacentral:piRNA from 1 species